UACGUAGGGGCGAGCGUUAUCCGGAUUUAUUGGGUUUAAAGGGUGCGCAGGCGGAAGAUUAAGUCGGCGGUGAAAUUUUGCAGCUCAACUGUAAAAGUGCCAUCGAUACUGGUUUUCUUGAGUGUGGAUGAAGUAGGCGGAAUUUGUGGUGUAGCGGUGAAAUGCAUAGAUAUCACGAGGAACUCCGAUUGCGCAGGCAGCUUACUAAACUACUACUGACGCUCAGGCACGAAGGCGUGGGGAUCAAACAGGAUUAGAUACCCU
rnacentral:rRNA from 1 species